rnacentral:rRNA from 1 species
AGAGUUUGAUCCUGGCUCAGAACGAACGCUGGCGGCGUGCUUAACACAUGCAAGUCGAACGCGAAAGGGACUUCGGUCCUGAGUAAAGUGGCGCACGGGUGAGUAACGCGUAGAUAACCUGUCUUUAUGUCUGGAAUAAUACGCCGAAAGGGGUACUAAUACCGGAUAUUUUUGCAUUGCACAAGUGAUGUAAGCAAAGGUGGCCUCUGACAUAAGCUACUGCAUAAAGAGGGGUCUGCGUACCAUUAGCUAGUAGGUGGGGUAAAGGCCUACCUAGGCUACGAUGGUUAGCGGGUCUGAGAGGAUGAUCCGCCACACUGGCACUGGAACACGGGCCAGACUCCUACGGGAGGCAGCAGUGAGGAAUAUUGCGCAAUGGGGGCAACCCUGACGCAGCGACGCCGCGUGAGUGAGGAAGGCCUUCGGGUCGUAAAGCUCUGUCAAAGGGAAAGAAGUGCAUGGAGGUUAAUACCCUUCAUGUUUGACGGUACCCUUAAAGGAAGCACCGGCUAACUCCGUGCCAGCAGCCGCGGUAAUACGGAGGGUGCAAGCGUUGUUCGGAAUUACUGGGCGUAAAGGGCGCGUAGGCGGUUUGAUAAGUCAGAUGUGAAAGCCCACGGCUUAACCGUGGAAGUGCAUUUGAAACUGUCAGACUUGAGUACCAGAGGGGAAAGUGGAAUUCCCGGUGUAGAGGUGAAAUUCGUAGAUAUCGGGAGGAAUACCGGUGGCGAAGGCGACUUUCUGGCUGGAUACUGACGCUGAGGCGCGAAAGCGUGGGGAGCAAACAGGAUUAGAUACCCUGGUAGUCCACGCUGUAAACGAUGUCAACUAGAUGUAGGGGGUGUUGAUCCCCUCUGUGUCGCAGCUAACGCAUUAAGUUGACCGCCUGGGGAGUACGGUCGCAAGAUUAAAACUCAAAGGAAUUGACGGGGGCC